AUUGAACGCUGGCGGCAGGCCUAACACAUGCAAGUCGAACGGUAGCACAGAGAGCUUGCUCUUGGGUGACGAGUGGCGGACGGGUGAGUAAUGUCUGGGAAACUGCCCGAUGGAGGGGGAUAACUACUGGAAACGGUAGCUAAUACCGCAUAACGUCUUCGGACCAAAGUGGGGGACCUUCGGGCCUCACACCAUCGGAUGUGCCCAGAUGGGAUUAGCUAGUAGGUGGGGUAAUGGCUCACCUAGGCGACGAUCCCUAGCUGGUCUGAGAGGAUGGCCAGCAACACUUGAACUGAGACACGGUCCAGACUCCUACGGGAGGCAGCAGUGUGGAAUAUUGCACAAUGGGCGCAAUCCUGAUGCAGCCAUGCCGCGUGUAUGAAGAAGGCCUUCGGGUUGUAAAGUACUUUCAGCGGGGAGGAAGGCGUUAAGGUUAAUAACCUUGGCGAUUGACGUUACCCGCAGAAGAAGCACCGGCUAACUCCGUGCCAGCCGCCGCUGUAA
rnacentral:rRNA from 1 species